UACUUUUAGGACACAAAACCCAGGACUUGAUCAGUUGGCUUCAUUUACAUGUAAUACAUCUUAGUUUAAUAUGUAUUGAAUUUUAAUAUGACAGAGAACUUGACUUCUGUAAUCUGAAGAGAAUUGAAGUGCAUUUGCUGCUUGUACUGUGACAGCCAGGAUUUCACUUCCUGGAAGAAUCUGCAAUCACUCAGUUCAAGGUCUGCUGGGAAUUGAGACUAAUUGUGGUGACAAGGCAUCGUCAAGUUUGGCACUUCCACAGCAACUAAAGUUCUGCUCUUUUUUCCAGAGACCUAAAGACUUUAAAAUACCUUUUGGAAAAACCCACAGCUCUGCCUCAUAUAUUUGACUCCUCAGGAAGAUAGUUUUCAGUGAAGAAAAAAGUUCGGGAAGGAAGGAAAACAAAAUUCACUCAUGCCUUAACACAGCUAAUGUUGCACAAAGAAAUUCAAGGAUGGAUAAAGUGAUCCCAUCAGCAGCUGGGGUCUCCAAGGGCACCUUGGGGGUCUGUCUCAAGAGGUGAUACAGCUGCACAUCAGGCUGGGAUAUAUCUGAGCACUAAAGACUCUUUGUCUUGCUUCAGUGUACAAGCGCAUGAGUGAGAUACUAAAACACAGUAAGAAACAAUUUAGGUAAGUCCUAAAUGCAUGCUGUUUUUUAAAGAACAGUAUUUUAAGUUUCAGGCCCUAAAAAAAUAAUACUGUCCUUUUAAAAAAGCUUUCCUAAAGAUUUUCUUCUGUGAGUUAAACAAGAGAAAUGCAUACACCUUUGCCAAAAUACUUAGUUUACUAUAUCCUCAUUCAUAUGGCACAGGAGAUCCUAGGCACACAUCCUGUUUUCCUUCCAAAAGGCAACAUCCUUCCAACAUCCACACCAAGCACUGUGGAUGUACCCGAAGUUACCAGAAAUUUCUUGCAGAAUUCAGCUAGUGAUCAAUUGGGAAUGUCCUGGAAAAUGAUGAAGAGCAGAGGAGCACAAGCAAGACAUGUGCUUGUGUCACAUCAAGCCAUCUCAUCUGUUCAGUGUUGGGGUUUGCCCUGGAAAAGCAUUGGAAGCUUCUGCAAAAAUGCACAAAAAUAAACUGAUUUUGUAAAAACAUGGGAGAGGGAAAAGUGGGAGUAUGUUAAUAAAUCUGCCAUCAAAUGUUGUCAGAAGAAUACUAAAUUCACCUGUAUCAAUUUAAAAUUACUGUGUAAGAGUCCUCUCCAAGUCAUGUCAGCUUUAUAUGAAGAAUUUCCUAACUUUUUUGUAGUGAUUAUCUCAAAUCAAGUUUCAGGAAGAUAUCUGGUAAAAUCUACAACUAAAGGAAGUAUUACGAAAGCUGAAGACACACAGAACAGUUAUUAAAACCUCAGGCCACACUAAACUGAGUGAAAAAUAAUGAAAAGGAUAUCAUUAUUAUUCAGAACUAGAAGUUAAUUGCUUGAUGAAAAUUAGAUGGUUUACAUACUAUGGUGAUUUCUGAGAGCAUAGCCUAUUUUAUUUUGUUCAAAUGGCCUUUGGAAGAAAGGUGGUCUGGUUUUGUUCUGUACUGGCCCAUUUAUGGCAAUAUGCUAUUUCAAUAAUAGCUCUAACAGAUCAGCAGAUGCAGUGAAGCAAUGCAGGCUCUAAGGCUGUUGAAAACCCUUCAAAUAGCCUGAAAAUUUAGGGAGCAGAUGUCAUUCUGGCACUAACUGUUUCUUACUCCAAGAAUACAAUUUGUGAUUCAGGAACUAAGAUAUUCCCUCUAUUACAGUGGACAAUUUUCUUAAUGGUGAACAAAGAACUGCUGAAAACUGAUUUUUCUUUAUAUCAGACUUUGCCAGGCACAAGAAAAGAACAGAAUACAAUAAUUCUAUGCACCAGAAAUGUGAAUUAAAAACUCAAAUGUGGAAAAUGCAGUGUUAUGCAGAUGAGGGCAGGACACUUCUACCAACAUGUGCCCUUACUGUGAAGGAGGAACACCCACCUCUCCUGCAACCAGAUGAGUCAGACAGCAUCCAGGAGCUUCAUUCCAGGAAUCUGUCCCACUCAGAAACCCAGAAAAGAAUCCCAGAGAACUGACAUUUUCUUAAUAAAAGGGAAAGCACAGUGAGCAAACACUCUGAACAAAGUCUACCCUGAACAUUGAACAAAAGACCCUAAAAUCGCCAUGUGCUCCUCUUCAACUAUUUGCCUUAAUGAACUAUACAGGUUCUCAGUCCAACCUGAUCUGAUAUCUUUAGCAAGCUGGGAUCUAUUCCUGGGACCUUUGCUCCAGGCACAAACAGCAAACCAGCAUGGUACAGGAAAUCCUGGACUUGGCUUUUCCCUUCUUUGCUUUAACACCUCCCUUAGACAGUGAAAAAAACUCACUUGCCAUCCUGGCAGCUGGUUCUGCUACAGAACUCAGCUCCAGAAGAGGCUGCUCCUGGCCCUUACCUCUGCUGGCCAGGUCUCUAUUGGGUGAGGAGGAGACCAUAGAGUGGGGCUUGGCCUCUGCCCUGCUGCCCAGACCAGGACACAAGGCACUACGGGAGCAUUAAGCCCCACAUCACCAUUACCCUGGCAUGGCUGGGUCUCACACAGAUGCAGAACAGCAGAGCUGCUGAAGGCCUCCAUACCAGGUAUCCCAUACUGUAGGCCUGGCAAGGGGAGAAUAGCUUCUCACCAAGGAACAUGCCUAAGAUCAACUGCUUAGGACAGCUUGUUGCCAACUGCACAGGCCAUCCAGAUUUUUGAGCUACAGUGUAGUUUGUCAAGCUAACAUACAAAGCUGGUCCGCCUUUCUGCAUGGAGUGAAAAAAAAGCGCACUAUGAACAGUUCCUGCUGCUAUGCCAAGAAUUAUACCAAGGAAAAGAAACCUACUCAAGGGAGUCUGCAAACCAUUUUAACCAGGAAUCAAACAGGGUGGGUUUUUUUCUUAAUGGAGUGCUAUGCUACAUUAGCAAAAGUGAUGUGACAUUAUGAAUGUAAAAGUGUAUAUAAAAGCCUAACAUAACAGUAUUUUCAGAACAGGGAGGGGAGGUGGGGAGAGAAAGGGGAAGAGAGCAGCAGACAUUUUUGAAGCAGUCUUGGAAAUGUUAAGUAGAACAUAUUUGUAGCUAUUAAUUUGUAACCUUUUCCAUCUCAUUUCUUCUGGAAUAUAUAUAUUCCUACAACCAGGUGACACAGAAAAACACAAAAUAGCCCUAAGGGUAUCUACAUACAGCUUUCACCAGAAAAUUGCCUGGGAGCAGGGGCAUUCAAUUUGCAACCUGUCGAAGUGGUCCACUUCACCUACCACUGGCAGCUGGAUAAGUUGCUUUCAAGGUAAUACCUGUUACUAGCCACCACCUUUCCAGGGAGAGGGCAAGGAGGAUGAGGCUCAUCAGCUGCCACGGCAGCAGCAAGGCCCUGGAAUCCCAGUGCUGUACCCCACACUUGCACAUUGUAGGUGUGUUCACCAGAAGCCAGAAGUGAGCACGUGAAUCUUAAGUACUUAGAGACUGUAGAGCUGCAGAAGCUACAGCAGCGUGCUCUGCUCAGGAAGCAGGCUGCAAACAGUGGUUCCAAGGCCACACCACUGCUGCCCAGGCAGAAGGCUGCCUGACUGCUUGUGUUUCAGACCACCCACCAGCUCAGGCAGUAGAGCAAAAGCCAAUCACCACAGCAGGUUUUCAUUUAUGGUAGAGUUAAACAGCCAGGGCUUCCUUUGCACACAGCAGACACAGCACAUGUCCAGGACUCAAUUGUUAGGUAUCUGCUCUAAGGAGAAAAUUACACCUUGAACCCAUCUCUCUCCCCUAGUCAGAGAAACGAAGAGAGUUACUCAAAUUGACCCCACCAUGGAAAGCAUUCACCUCCCAGCUUCAGAACUCAGGCACACCAAAUACGCCAGUAAACCAAUGGGCAAGCCCGAGUUACCAGGACAGGGAUGACACUGUCCACAUAAAGGAGCCUGGGUUUGAAUUCACCUUGGAUAGAAAGUGAAAUACAGAAGUCUAUGGCUGUGCAAUGUCACUGGUUGCCUGGGAUGCUGUACAUGACUGCAGGCUGUUUGCUGUCCUCUCCAGCCCUGUUGUCUCUGCCAUCAAGUGCAUGACAUUCCUGGAGCAAAAUUUCAGAUCAGGCCAAUCACAUGGCCCAAAGCUCACAUUUAGUAAUAUCAGCAAAUGUGUGUCUCCUCAUUCUCCCUUUCCCAAAAUCAGUUGUGUUGAAAGAAAGGAAUGAUACAGAAGGUGUGAUAAAAAUUUAAAAUCUGAUAUAAUGAAUAUGCUAAGAUGCUUCAAUUUCUGUCCUAGCAGCCAGCAGGGUUAUGUUGUUUUGUUGGUUUUUUGUUUUUUGGUUUUUUUUUUAAUGGACAAGAUAAACUUUUCUACAAGGAAAUAAUAAAAAUACUCAAAAAAGUCAAUGCAUAUACCACAAAAAACUCCACCAAAAUUCCACUAAAAAUCCAGAAUUUUAAGUUUGGAAUAACAACCCUUUUUACAAAGACAUUUUAUAGGUUGAGCGUAUGCAUUCACAAAAGCAACAAGCUAAGGCAUAUUCUCCUUAGCCGUGUUUGUAAAAGAAAAGCUCUGGAAAGCUAUGUGACUUGAUCUCAUGUAAAUCUUGUCAAGGUACAGGCAGUAUGAAUAUUAAAUAUUUAAAUUACUUUUGCAUGUAAUGGACUAUCAGUUUAUACAGUUAUGAAUAUGAGCUAAAUUAGUUUCAAAUCACUGCAACAAAUACUCCAGUAAGAGCAUGAAUCUUAAACAGCAUUUUAAAGUGCUCAUUAGAAACCCAACAUUUCAAUUAAGAAAUGUUAAAGAUAUUACAUUCCUUACAUAUCAAGUCCAAAGGUACAAUAUGUACACAAUCUACCAUCUUGUCUUUACAAAUAGGAAGUCAUUUACCUGCGUACAAACAUGACUAGUAGCCAAAGUGAACCUGAAAGACUAUUUUGAUUUGGCCAGAAAAACAAAAAAAACAUCCCUUCCCCUGAACAGUUAUCCCACACAUACUGCUAUCAGAAUUCUAUAUCCCAAGCACUGCCCCUUUGGCCAAUCUCCUUGUCUAAUUCUCUUUACACCUACUCAUGAAGCAUCUGCCAGUACUUUGCCAGUAAAAAAUCACACCAUCUCUCUUGUAACAGAAUUGCUUGGGUCUCUAGGAACUGGCAAGGCUUCUGUUAAAGACAAAAUGCAACUGAAGAAAUAUGCCCUGCAAUAUACCACAGUUUGCAAAAAGAAAAGAGCUCUUAACUAGAUAGCCCAUCAUAUAACAAAAAUUUUGACAGUUUUUAGUUAAUUUUUGAAUGAACUGUAGUGCUUAUUUAAAAAAAAUGAAACUAAUUAUGAGGCAUUUGUGACACCUUUAAAAGCCUACAUCAGCUUUCUUAUAAAACCCUAACCUGUCCCUUUCAAUCCAUAAAUGCAGUACAUUUGCUAGAUAAGUCUUGUCCUUACAGCAACUAAUCAAACGGCUUCAUCCACUACAAGUUUUCUGUGAUUUUGACUUAACAGUUUUGCAGCAUGUGGUAUUACUCUGUGCACAGGUUAAGCCUGUUUCACAAAGGACUAAUACGAGGUACUGUGAAAUGUUAGCAUUGUGCAUCAUUUUAAUCCCCAUAGCGCACAUGCUUUUCAGUAAUCCCCUUCGAAGUACAUGACAAAUUUUCGAAGAUACAAACAACCAUAAAACACAAAUCCAAAGUUCAUUAAAGCACAAUAUAAAUAUUUAUGUUUCUGUCAUUGAUUUCAUGUCUCAGCUGCCAUGAAUGGCAACAUUUUGUCUUUUCAGACUUUGCAACUGGACAUUGUCCUUUUCAGACAAAGAGUAUACUCACUCAUAUACAGUAACAUGACAGUACAGUAAAAUCAAAACCCAAAAAAUAAAAUAACAGUGAACAUUCCAUAAGCAGAUUCUUAAAUUUAGGUAAACAUUUCUGCUAAGCUAAAGGCAAAAAUAUGCUGUACAAAAUCAUGGUAGCAUCUCAGUAAUAAGCUUUGUUUAGCUUAGCUUCAGCGUAGUGUGUGGCCAGCUUGAUCUAUACAAUUUCUUAAAAGAAGAGGAAGAUAAAAGAUUGUAAAGCUCUAGUUCUGCUCUACUUGUACCCAUUAGCAGAUUCUUUCCUCGCAAAACAUUCAUGUGAAAAAAAUCAACUGUGGCACUCAGCUGAGUUACAAAACACACAUUUAUAGACAACAGGAGAUGUCAAGGUGAUAAACGACUCAUUGGACUGCUUUCUUCUCCUCCUGCAGCAAGCUU